GCUUCCGUAGCUCAGUUGGAAGAGCGCAGGUCUCAUAGCACAUAUGAAGGUGACACGCAUCCUUUAAUCCUGAGGUCGACGGUUCGAACCCGCCCGGGAGCA